rnacentral:rRNA from 1 species
AAACCAGCACCUCAAGUGGUCAGGAGGAUUAUUGGGCCUAAAGCAUCCGUAGCCUGUUCUAUAAGUUUCCGGUUAAAUCCAUUAGCUCAACUAAUGGGUUGCCGAAAAUACUGUAGAACUAGGGAGUGGGAGAGGUAGACGGUAUUCGGUAGGAAGGGGUAAAAUCCUUUGAUCUAUUGAGGACCACCUGUGGCGAAGGCGGUCUACCAGAACACGUUCGACGGUGAGGGAUGAAAGCUGGGGGAGCAAACCGGAUUAGAAACCCGAGUAGUCC